AUGGAGGAAGAAGCUCUGAGGGAGGCCAUGGAAGACGCCUUUCUGGAGGGCGCGGCCCAAUGGCGAGCGGACAACAUCCUCCAGACCCUGCAGAUGGACAAGCUGGACGCGUGGAUCCGCCAAGAGGGGCUUGGCGGUGACAUCGAGGCGCUCAAAUCUGAGAUCGAUGAAGUCAUGGCGACGGUCUCUUAUGUCAAGGGGAGGGCGGUAGGCAACAGGAGGCUGGCUAGGUCUCUCGCCGCGAUCAAGCAGAAGCUCUUCGACGCCGAUGACGCGGUCGACGAGCUCGACUACUACAGACUUCAACAGCAGGUCGAACUCGAAGGAGCAGGCCAAUACCCGCUGCUGUCUUCAUCCAACGCGCACAACCGCUUCGCCUCUGACGGUGUUAUCCAGUCUUGCACCGCAGCCACAGUGACUAACACCGUUACUUUGCAGGAGCCCGAAGGCAUGCAUGAAGCAGCGCGAGUAGAUCAUGGCACAUCGAUGGACGAUGGUGAUAAUAUACUGCCGAGAAGAGGUCGUGGCAAAAAAAGGUCCCCACAUUGGGUUGAUUUUGAGGAAAUAUAUGACACUGAUGGAAAAACCGUGGGGGCAGAAUGUAGACACUGUAAAAAGAAACUUAAAUACGACGGUAAACAAGGGCCAAGAGUCUUGAUGACUCACUCCAAUAGUGCCAAGUGUAAGAAUACGCGAGGAGCACGUCCCCAGCCGCCAAGCCAUUCAAGCAUGGAUGAUGCUACUGAAAAUGCUACCCCCGUUGCUGUAAGUAAUUCACCCAGCAUACCAAGGAUGGGAACGAAUCCAGAGCCAACACAAAUCACCGCAGCUGUUGCUCACCCUUGGAAUAAAGACGAAAUUUCCAGUAAGAUACAGAAAAUAACUCAUCAGUUGCAAGGCAUCCGAGGGGAUGUGACAAAGGAUCUCAACAUGUUUGGGUCACACUCUGGUGCAAGUUCAUCUCUCCAUCAAAGUACAGCCUCAGAUCCAUGCCGAAGAACAUCAAGUCUUCUUCAAGGCAAAGUGUAUGGGAGAGACAAAGAGAAGAGCUCCAUCAUAAAGUUGAUGACAGCUGGUAAAUCUGACAGUGUAACUGUUGUGCCUAUUGUAGGCAUUGGAGGUACUGGGAAGACAGCUCUCGCGCAAUUUGUAUAUAACGAUCCGAAAGUGCAAGACCAUUUUGACCACAGCAUAUGGGUUUGGGUGUCUAACAACUUUGAUGAAAUGGUACUGACGAGAGAGAUAUUAGAUAUUGUCCCUCGAGAAAAACACGAAGGGUUAUGCAGCCUUGACAAACUUCAGCAGGUCUUGAAAACUCAUAUUGAAUCAAAGAGGGUUCUACUUAUUUUAGACGAUGUCUGGGAUGACAAGAACAUUCGCAGAUUGGACCUAAUACUUGCUCCUUUCAAGUCAGACAAUCCAAAUGGCAACGUGAUCCUUGUGACAACUAGAAAUCUCUCUGUUGCAAAAAGGAUAGGAAUGACUGAACCAGUUGUGUUAGGUGCGCUGGAAGAUGACGAAUUGUGGUUAUUGCUCAAAGCACGAGCAUUUGGUAAAGAGAACUAUGAAGAGCAUGGAAAUCUAACGAACAUUGGACAGGAAAUAGCAGGCAAGCUAAAGGGUAACCCAUUAGCAGCAGUAACUGCAGGGGAACUAUUAAGAGUUGAUCUUACUGUUGAUCACUGGAAUAAAAUUCUCAAGGACGAAGAUUGGAAAUUGUUGGGGCUCAGUGGAGGCAUCAUGGCUUCUUUGAAGCGUAGCUAUGAUCAGUUGCCGUACCAUCUACACCAAUGCUUCUCGUAUUGUUCUAUAUUCCCCGACAGUUAUAAGUUUCUUGGUGAGGAGUUGGUCCGUAUUUGGAUUUCACAAGGAUUUGUCCAACAGAGCCAUCCAAGUAAGAAAUUAGAGGAGAUAGGAAUGGACUAUUUGGCAGAUUUGGUGAACAUGGGCUAUUUUCAGCAAGUUGGAAGAGAAAUUUCAUAUGUUUUGUGUGGUCUUAUGCAUGAUUUUGCAAGGAUGGUUUCAAAAACUGACUGUGCAAUUAUAGAUGGUCUACAGUGCAAUGAUAUAUUACUAACUGUACAACAUUUGUCAAUAGUAUGGAGCAAAUAUCCGUAUUGGAACACAUCUCAGAUUAACAAGUUUAUAGAAAAUUUGAGAAAUACAAUUGCACCAGUAGUUACAAAACUGAGGUCGUUGGUGUUUAUCGGGCACUACAAGUCUUCUUUCUUCCAGUCCUUCCAAGACAUAUUCCGGAAGGCUCCUAAUUUACGUCUGCUGCAAAUAUCUGCAACCUUUGCAGAUUUUAAUUCCCUCAUGUGCAGUUCUGUUAAUCCUACUCAUCUUCGCUAUCUAAAACUGACGGCCAAUGAGGCGAGGGGGGGUUUGCCUCAGGUUUUGAGCAAUUUUUGUCACCUUCAAGUAUUAGAUGUCGGCUCAAGCACUCAUCUUGAUGUACCUGAUGGCAUGAAUAAUCUUGUCAGUUUGCGGCAUCUUGUUGCAACUUCCAUUGAUAGAAUUGGCAAAUUGACCUCACUUCAGACACUAAACAAUUUCAGCAUACAAGAUUCCAAUGGCUUUCAGAUUAUAGAACUUCAAUGCAUGAACGAUCUUGUCCAACUUGGGGUUUCUCAACUUCAAAAUGUUAAGACUCAGGAGGAGGCUUGUGGAGCAGGACUGCUUGACAAAUGGCACUUAGAAAAGCUGCACUUGUCCUGGGAGGAUAUCAACCUGAAUAUUUUAGAUGUUGAGAACGUCACGUGCUCUGAACCUUCUACCAGCAUAGAAACAGAGGAGUGCUUGCAAAAAGAGGUGCUUGAGGGUCUUCAACCACAUAAAAACCUAAAGCAUCUUCAGAUAUUUGGAUACAAUGGUGCCACCUCUCCAUCUUGGCUAUCUGGAUACAGAUGCAAUAUCUCUGUUACCUCCUUACAGACUCUGCAUUUGGAGAACUGUAGAAAAUGGCGGAUACUUCCAUCUCUGCAAUUGCUUCCCCUUCUUAGAAAAUUAAAGUUAAGCGGCAUGCCAAAAGUAGUAAAAAUAUCAGUUCCUUCGUUAGAGGAGCUGGUGUUAGUUAAGAUGAAAAAGCUGGAGACAUGCUCCUGCACUUAUAUGAGGGGGUUGAACUCCUGUUUAAGGGUUCUGAAAAUUAAGAAUUGCACUUCAUUGAAGGUGUUUGAUCUGUUUGGGGACGGCCAUAAAUUUAAAACUGAGAAGAAGUCAUGGUUGCCACGUAUUUGGGAACUUGUUAUCCACAACUGUCCUCUUUUGCUGGUACCACACCCUUUACCAUCUUCAAGUAUUGUUUCUAGAAUUUCCAUGAGGGGAGUUUCGAAUUUUCCAAGUAUAGAGGCAUCGUCCUUUGGAAGUUUAAUCAUCGGCAAGGAUCCUGGUAGAUCUGAUUAUUAUGAACAUGAAUAUGAUUCUAACAAGGAUCGUUUUGAGGUGCUUUCUGAUGAGCUGUUGGUGUUAGAUGGAAAGAUUUUGGCAUUCCAUAAUCUAAGUUUCCUGACAGAGUUGAUAAUAGGUUACUGCAAAAAUCUAAUGUUUAUUUCAUUAGAAGGAUUAAGUCAACUUGUAUCCUUAAAGACACUGAGAAUAGUGUAUUGUCCAGGGAUUUCCAGUUUCGAUGUUCCACCAGAGCAUGCCCGUGAAGAUUUGACAGCUGCAAAAUACAAUGCCAUCCCAUCUCUUAAACAUAUAAUGAUCCGGUCAUGCGGCAUAGCAUGGGAGUGGCUAUCAUUGAUUGUGCAAUAUGCGCCAGCACUAACGGAAUUGGAUGUACAGAACUGCCCAGAAUUGGAAUCUUUACAGCUGAACUCCUGCACGGCACUGCAAAAGUUGAAGGUAUGUACAUGUGAAUCGCUUGGCACACUAGAUGUCUUGCAAUCCCGUUCCCUCUGCAUUAUGGAAGUAAGGGGCGCCCCAAAUUUGAAAUCUCUACAGCUGCACUCCUGCACGGCACUGCUAAUGUUGGAUAUUCGGAGCUGCACAUCACUCUCUACACUGGAGGGCUUUCAAUCCCUUGGCAGCCUCAUGCAUUUGUAUCUACGGGAAUGCCCUUGCUUGCAUUCAUGUUUGGAGGGUUUGCCAGUGCAGGACUACGAAUUAUGCCCUCAACUGGAAUAUCUUUCUAUUAGUGACUUCUCUUUCCUUGCCACGUCUUUCUGCAAGCAACUCACAUCACUCCAGAGCUUAGUUAUUAGUGGUUUUGAAAAAGAAACACCAGCAGAAGGACUAACAGAUGAGGAAGAGACAGGGCUUCUGCUCCUCAGUUCCCUUACAGAGCUCCGAUUUAUGUGUUACAAAUAUCUCAAAGAUCUUCCUGCAGGCCUGCACAGACUUCGCUUUCUCCAGGUGUUGGAUAUUUCAUUUUGUCCGAGCAUCUCAGGAUUGCCGGACCUCCCGCCUUUCCUAGAGGAGUUGAAAGUCUUCCGGGGCAGUGAGGAGCUGAAACGUCAAUCCAAAUCGCUAGUGUCAAGCAAGUUAAAGGUCAAAAUUGACGACCAAUAUGUGAACUGA
rnacentral:rRNA from 1 species